rnacentral:misc_RNA from 1 species
GAUGAAGAACGUAGCGAAAUGCGAUAAGUAAUGUGAAUUGCAGAAUUCAGUGAAUCAUCGAAUCUUUGAACGCACCUUGCGCCCUUUGGCCAUUCCGAAGGGCAUGCCUGUUUGAGUAUCAUGAACACCUCAACUCUUUAUGGUUUUCCAUGAUGAGCUUGGACUCUGGGGGUUUUGCUGGCUCACAGUCGGCUCCUCUAAAAUGAAUCAGCUUACCAGUGUUUGGUGGGUAUCAUGGGUGUGAUAACGAUCUACGCUUGUGGUUUUUCCACCAGGUAACCUUCAGCAGUGGAGGUUCGCUGGAGCUCAUAGAUGUCUCUCCUCAGUGAGGACAGCCCUUUGAAUGUUUGAUCUCAAAUCAGGUAGGACUACCCGCUGAACUUAAGCAUAUCAAUAAGCGGAGGA